rnacentral:rRNA from 1 species
CGGCGUGCCUAAUACAUGCAAGUCGAACGGUCUUUCUAUGGAAGCUUGCUUCCACUGAGAAGAUAGUGGCGGACGGGUGAGUAACACGUGGGUAACCUGCCCAUAAGAGGGGGGAUAACAUCCGGAAACGGGUGCUAAUACCGCAUAGUUUUCUUGAUCGCAUGAUUGAGAAAGGAAAGACGGCCUUUGUGCUGUCGCUUAUGGAUGGACCCGCGGCGUAUUAGUUAGUUGGUGAGGUAAUGGCUCACCAAGACGAUGAUACGUAGCCGACCUGAGAGGGUGAUCGGCCACAUUGGGACUGAGACACGGCCCAAACUCCUACGGGAGGCAGCAGUAGGGAAUCUUCCGCAAUGGACGAAAGUCUGACGGAGCAACGCCGCGUGAGUGAAGAAAAGGGUUUUCGGAUCGUAAAACUCUGUUGUCAGAGAAGAACAAGUUGGAGAGUAACUGCUCCAGCCUUGACGGUAUCUGACCAGAAAGCCACGGCUAACUACGUGCCAGCCGCCGC